rnacentral:lncRNA from 1 species
UUGUGGAGUGAUUGAUUAAAACCCUAUUUGAUUUUGAUGAGCUCAAAGCAUUUGAGUAUAUUUCUUGUUUACUAAUGAAUUCAGUUAAGUAUUUUCAGUGAAAAUCUUCUCUAAGUGUCUCUAGACUUGGUUCAUAGUAUUUUGGAUAAGUUAAGAAGUCAGCUUGAACCAAAGUCUGAGACUCGAGUCGACUCCAGAGUAUCACGAGUCGACUCCAAGCGUAUCAAGUUCACUGGCACGGGCUCGA